UUUAUCGGGACAAACAACGCGACAAUUAUUUUCGAACUGUCGUUCACUGUAGGAAGAGCAUAAAAGUUUUUAACACGUGGACAAAUGAUUAGGCCCCGGAAAUACCUGGAAAUAAUUUUCCACCAGCGUUAAGUCAAGGCAUAAAUGUUAAACCUAAACUUGUUGUCUUCCAUCGCUUUCUUUGAGGUGCUGUGUUACUCGGCGCUUUUUAUUUUUUCUCUCGCGUCUGGAGCGGUGAGUGGCAAUAGAACGUGACAAGUUAAUUGGUACGAGACUGGGUGGGGUGUGGCAGGAUUUUACGUUCACCACCGGAAGUCCUGUGUCUGCUACCAAUAACUGUCAUGAGGCGAUAGCCGCGGAUCUUGCAAGUGGUGCUUCAUAUCAACUGCCAUGACAUAUCGCGGUUCCUUUAGUGCUGUCAUUCGAAAAAAUAGGGGAGAAGUGGGGUAAUAAAAAGUGUCAAUAUGUAGCUGACAACGCGACAAUUGAGGCUGAGGGAGACAAUGGGCCCCGAGUACCGGUGAAUCCAGUCAGCUCUGGUCAAUACAACUCUGCCUUUUGCUCGGGGGAUAAAACUGCGCCCUCGAGCAUUUCCACUUCUAGAAUCCCCCCUAUUUUUUUCUUAAUUUCCUUCCUUUUCCAGUCUUUUCACUCGUUUUCUCGCAGUAUCCCAUAUUCUGUAUGUGUGGAGAAAAUACAGUUGAACUCGGGGAUCUUCGAUCGAAGGGUUCACUCGACUCCAGGAGAAGACGCGAUGAUAUACAGUGACAGUUCUGAGGGAUGAUUGAAGGGUUUCCCAACAUAUGAAGACCACAUCGUCCGUGAUUCAAUUCAUUAGGAUAUUUGUGUCCUGUUCUACCCCUGAUUGGACCACCAGCGGCUGCAAAACAAUGUCGACCCUCGAUCUUACUUUCCAUCCCCUCAAUUCGUUAUGCUCUCGAUUACGGUCCACUGUGAGGGCCGUUAUGUCGCCCGGUGGUAAAUAACCGAGGAGUUGGGUUGCGCGUGCCCUAAGGGGUGAAUUACAAUUUCCACUUGGAAGUACCAUAUGUUUGUAAACCACCAGGCAUUGAGUGUACCUUCUUGUUUGGUUAUGCUGGAGCUUCUUGGAGGAGAGGGCGUGUCUGUGAGACUGUGUGGCGCCACAAGACGCACUGCCAUUGUAGCUUGCAACUUACCGAAGGGAAAACCCGUUGGCUUACUCCCAUUCUCCACGUGACUUAUCAACAAUUCAUUUUUUUCACUCCAUCUUUAUCACAUCCGCUUCGAUCUAUUAUUUUUCAUCGCGAAUUUUGCACGAAAAAACGCGCCAUAAAUUGCGGAACUUGAGUUCACUUGCCGAUUGUCAAAAUCACGGAGAACUUGUUAAGUCGCAGGGUGUCAAUCAUGACAGCACUCGACAUUGUCAUCAUCCCGUGUACGUGAACAUCGCGUGUUAAUUAUUAACGUGGGCUGUCUGGCACUCAGAUGAUUGCCAUCGAUUGCUAUUCACUUUUUCAU